rnacentral:rRNA from 1 species
UCUCCUGGAACGGAGCGUCAUAGAGGGUGAGAAUCCCGUCUUUGACACGGACUACCAGUGCUCUGUGAUGCGCUCUCAAAGAGUCGAGUUGUUUGGGAAUGCAGCUCAAAAUGGGUGGUAAACUCCAUCUAAAGCUAAAUAUUGGCGAGAGACCGAUAGCGAACAAGUACCGUGAGGGAAAGAUGAAAAGCACUUUGGAAAGAGAGUUAAACAGUACGUGAAAUUGCUGAAAGGGAAACGCUUGAAGUCAGUCGCGUUUGUUAGGACUCAGCCUUGCCUCGGCUUGGUGCACUUCCUAGUAGACGGGCCAGCAUCACUUUUGACUGCGGGAAAAAGAUCAGAGGAAUGUGGCACCUUCGGGUGUGUUAUAGCCUCUGGUUGUAUACCGUGGCUGGGAGUGAGGAACUCAGCACGCCUUUAUGGCGGGGCUUCGGCCACCUUCGUGCUUAGGAUGCUGGCGUAAUGGCUUUAAGCGACCCGUCUUGAAACACGGACCAAGGAGUCUAACAUGCCUGCGAGUGUUUGGGUGGAAAACCCGAGCGCAUAAUGAAAGUGAAAGUUGGGACCUCUGUUGUGGAGGGCACCGACGCCCGGACCAGACCUUCUGUGACGGAUCCGCGGUAGAGCAUGUAUGUUGGGACCCGAAAGAUGGUGAACUAUGCCUGAAUAGGGUGAAGCCAGAGGAAACUCUGGUGGAGGCUCGUAGCGAUUCUGACGUGCAAUCGAUCGUC